rnacentral:rRNA from 1 species
UACGGAGGGUGCGAGCGGUAGCCGGGUUUACUGGGCGGAAAGGGCGUGUCGGCGGCUUUCUAAGUCCGGGGCUAAAGACCAGGGCUCAACCCUGGGUUUGCCUUGGAUACUGGAAAGCUCGACGGCUGGAGGGGGCAGCGGAAUUUCCGGAGUAGCGGUGAAAUGCGCAGAUACCGGAAGGAACGCCAAUAGCGAAGGCAGCUGCCUGGACAGUACGUGACGCUGAGGCGCGAAAGCGUGGGGAGCAAACCGG